rnacentral:rRNA from 1 species
AUUAAGUCGAAUGAUGGAAUCCCCGAGCUUAACUAUCGGUAAUUGCAUUAUGAUACUGGAUUGCUAGAGUAUGGGAGAGGAUGGUAGAAUUACCAGGUGUAGCGGUGAAAUGAGUAGAGAUAGGAGGAAUACCGAUGGCGAAGGCAGCCAUCUGGCCUAAUACUAACGACUGAGGUGCGUAAGCAGUGGGGAGCAAACAGGAUUAGAUACCCGGUAGUCCA